rnacentral:rRNA from 1 species
UGGGGAAUAUUGCACAAUGGGCGCAAGCCUGAUGCAGCGACGCCGCGUGGGGGAUGACGGCCUUCGGGUUGUAAACUCCUUUCGCAAUCGACGAAGCCCUUGUGGUGACGGUAGGUUGAGAAGAAGCACCGGCUAACUACGUGCCAGCAGCCGCGGUAAUACGUAGGGUGCGAGCGUUGUCCGGAAUUACUGGGCGUAAAGAGCUCGUAGGUGGUUUGUCGCGUCGUUUGUGGAAUACCGCAGCUUAACUGCGGGGUUGCAGGCGAUACGGGCAUAACUUGAGUGCUGUAGGGGAGACUGGAAUUCCUGGUGUAGCGGUGGAAUGCGCAGAUAUCAGGAGGAACACCGAUGGCGAAGGCAGGUCUCUGGGCAGUAACUGACGCUGAGGAGCGAAAGCAUGGGGAGCGAACAGGAUUAGAUACCCUGGUA